AGCAUGGCUAGCUACUUCCUACUUAAGAGCAGCUGACACUAAAGCUACAAGAAUAUUGUAGAAUUACAUUGGCUUCCUGACACAAGCGAACUUAAAAAGUUUAUGGCUUAAAAAACACCUGCAUUCACAUAGACAGCUCCAUGCAAGUCCAUAAAGAUAUGGUUACUGACCUGCUCUGCACUGUGAUUGGAUUUGGCCAAUGAGAAAAACCAGCAGCAGCCAAGAUG